rnacentral:rRNA from 1 species
AUGGACUCGGACGAUGAGGAGGAGCUCGCGGCGUUGCUGGAGGAGGAAGCCGAAUCCGACGUCCAGGAGCAGGAGCAUCUCAUGGUGCUUGCCGCCCUCGCCGGCCUGCUCGCGAGCAAUGAAAAGCCAUGGCAAGGUGGCUCAACGUCGGGGCUGGUGAAAGCAAAGAACCAGCAUCGUCGGCAAGGCUAUUGCAUGCUCUACUCCGACUACUUCGCCGACGCUCCAUUGCACGGCGAUAAAACAUUUUGGCAGCGUUAUCGGAUGAGCCGAAAGCUUUUCCUCGGAAUUGUGAAUUCCAUUCCGGAGUUCGACAACUACUUCAAGUGCAAGAAGGAUUGCACCGGCACACUUGGAUUCACCUCAAUCUAG